CCUCUUCGAUCUGCUGGGGGCAGAUAAAGUGGAUAUGGGCGUCCAUCGCCCCGGCGGUGAUGAUGCGGCCCUCGCUGGCGAUGAUCUCGGUCGAGGGGCCGAUGAUGAUGGUGACGCCGGGCUGGGUAUCGGGAUUGCCUGAUUUGCCGAUGGCGUGGAUGCGCCCGUCCUUGAGGCCGAUAUCGGCCUUGUAGAUGCCGGAGUGAUCGAUGAUCAGCGCAUUGGUGAUGACGGUAUCGACGGCGCCUUCGGCGCGGGUCCUUUGGCUCUGGCCCAUGCCGUCGCGGAUG
rnacentral:sRNA from 1 species